GACGAACGCUGGCGGCGUGCCUAAUACAUGCAAGUAGAACGCUGAAGAGAGGAGCUUGCUCUUCUUGGAUGAGUUGCGAACGGGUGAGUAACGCGUAGGUAACCUGCCUUGUAGCGGGGGAUAACUAUUGGAAACGAUAGCUAAUACCGCAUAACAAUGGAUGACACAUGUCAUUUAUUUGAAAGGGGCAAUUGCUCCACUACAAGAUGGACCUGCGUUGUAUUAGCUAGUAGGUGAGGUAACGGCUCACCUAGGCGACGAUACAUAGCCGACCUGAGAGGGUGAUCGGCCACACUGGGACUGAGACACGGCCCAGACUCCUACGGGGGGCAGCAGUAGGGAAUCUUCGGCAAUGGGGGCAACCCUGACCGAGCAACGCCGCGUGAGUGAAGAAGGGUUUCGGAUCGUAAAGCUCUGUUGUAAGUCAAGAACGAGUGUGAGAGUGGAAAGUUCACACUGUGACGGUAGCUUACCAGAAAGGGACGGCUAACUACGUG
rnacentral:rRNA from 1 species